UACAGAGGUCCCAAGCGUUGUUCGGAUUCAUUGGGCGUAAAGGGUGCGUAGGUGGCGUGGUAAGUCGGGUGUGAAAUCCCGGGGCUCAACCCCGGGACUGCAUUCGAUACUGCCAUGCUUGAGGACUGGAGAGGAGACUGGAAUUUACGGUGUAGCAGUGAAAUGCGUAGAGAUCGGAAGGAAGACCAGUGGCGAAGGCGGGUCUCUGGACAGUUCCUGACACUGAGGCACGAGGGCCAGGGGAGCAAACGGG
rnacentral:rRNA from 1 species